rnacentral:rRNA from 1 species
UACGAAGGGGGCUAGCGUUGUUCGGAAUUACUGGGCGUAAAGCGCACGCAGGCGGUUCGCCAGGUUUGGAGUGACAGUUGUCGGCUCAACCGACAAAGGACUUCAAAAACUGGUGAACUUGAGGACGAGAGAGGAACAUGGAACUCCAGGUGUAGUAGUGAAAUGCGUAGAUAUCUGGAAGAACACCAAUGGCGAAGGCAAUGUUCUGGCUCGUUUCUGACGCUCAGGUGCGAAAGCCAGGGGAGCGAACGGG